GCCCCGCAGGGCACCUGGACACAGUGGCCUCAGUUUUUUCAUCUCUCCGGAGCUGCCUCCAGCUCUGAAAUGCCUUGAUGACGUGGUGGCAGUGAAACCAGGGGAGGGGGUGAGAUCGCUGAGGAAGACAUGUGAAAGGACUGGCGAUGGAGUCUCAGGAAAGCUGGCAUUUACCGAGAAGCAGGGGAACCGACGGAGACCAAACGGAAGCGGCGAUGGCUGCAAAGUACGCUCUCCACCAGCUGGUCAGGAAGACUGACAAGGACAGAGAAGUCCCUUCAGACCGUGUUUUCCUCAAACAUCUUAAUGUUGGAUCAUCUUCUACUCAUGUACAAGGGCUUCAUUCUCCAGAAGCUGUCAUUUUGCAUAAACCUCUCACCAGGCACAUCCAUUCUCACAGCCAAAAUCUCCAUAUCAAACACUGCAUCCACCAUGGAACUGACAGCCCUCCCUACCCUGCAUGGGGCCUCAGAGAGGCUGGCAUGACAGACACCCCGUGCAGGGGCGACGCAGGACAGACUGAGUGGGUGACCCGGGAAUGCCGCCAGUCCGUCCUUACCACCUUCCUCAGGCCUCCUGGGGGGAUCCUUGCUCCUUCCUGACGUCUCUGAUGGGUGUGCGUGGCCUGCAUGCCCUCAGUGGGGGGCACACAGGAGCCUGGGAGUGGAGGGGAAGACCUAUGUCCCUCCAAAAAAAUACAUUGACAUCCUAACCAGCAGUACCUCAGAAUGUAAUCUUAUUUGGAAAUAGAGUCUUUGCAGGGUAAUUAGGUUAAAAUCAGGUCAUUAGUGUGGUCCUGAUCCGAUAGGACUGGCAUUCUUACAAAAAGGGAUAGCUGGGAGACAACACGCUCAGAGGGAAGACCCGCCGUGUGCCUGAAGGCAUGCGUCUGCCCAAGAAGGGCCACCAAGGACAGUUAGCAACUACGUGAAACCAGGACGGAGGAGCAAACCACGUGAAACUGGGACAGGACAGACCCUCGGAAGGAGCCAACCUCGCCUGCGCCCUCCUCACCCCCAGACUGCGAAGGAUCGAUUUUGGCUGCC
rnacentral:lncRNA from 1 species